GACGGAGGGUGCUAGCGUUGUUCGGAAUCACUGGGCGAAAAGAGCGCGUAGGCGUCCUGGAAAGUCAGAUGUGAAAGCCCGGGGCUCAACCCCGGAAUUGCAUUUGAGACUCCCUGGCACGAGGUCGAAAGAGGAGAGUGGAAUACCCAGUGUAGAGGUGAAAUUCGUAGAUAUUGGGUGGAACACCAGUGGCGAAAGCGGCUCUCUGGUUCGAAUCUGACGCUGAGGCGCGAAAGCGUGGGGAGCAAACAGG
rnacentral:rRNA from 1 species